UAUAUGCAUCCCAUCCAUGCCAGCAUGGAAGGCAGACAUUAAAUGAAGAGAGAGGGUGUGACUGGCCAGUUGGUCAAUUAAAUAGAUACAAUACACUUUAACUACUAAUUCACCCCCAACACAUGCAAAGUCAGUUAUUGCAUAGGAAAACAAGCAGAAUGGUUCCCUGGCCAAGAGUGGUAUUUCUGUGGUGUAAGAUGUUAUGGCUUAUAUUUGAGUGGUUGCAGGGAUGACAAAGCAAGGAUCACUUAACACUUAACAUUUUGGAUUCAGACUUUAGGUCAGUAAUCCAACAGAUUAAAGUUAAGAUGUAACAUAUACAACAUUAAUUUGAUGUCUUACUUUUUAAGAAAUUCAAACUGUUCUGGAAUAUCAGAACAUCCAAAAUCAGUGGUCCAUGCAUGGCCAAUGGUGAAUUUAUGGAACCGAAACAUAUCCAUUACACUGAAAAUGUAAAAUGGAAAGAAAGAAAAUAUUAGAAAUUUUUAUAUAUUGAACUAAUAAAAAUAAUUUCAACAGCCAUUCACUAAAAAAAAUUUAUAAAACAAUUGAUAACUGAUCGUAUUACUCCACCUAUACCGUUCAUUUGGAUAGAGAAUAAAUAUUUGUACAGUAAUUCAUUCAUGGUUAAUAAUACAAAGCGGUUAUGCUUCAUUGAUGAGAUCUGAGUAAGACCAAAAAUGUCCGAAGUUAUCUUCCAACUAGGGUUUCUUGAAAAA